AUUAAUUAAUCAUUUGAGUUAAGGGUUUAAGUCAAAGUUAAAAGUCAAACUGGGAGAAUUGCAUUUUCACCUUAAAUAUUAUUAAUUGGAAUAAUUGCAUUUUCACCUUGAAUAUUAUUAUUUGGAAUAAUUGCAUUUUUACCUUGAAUAUUAUUAUUAUUAUCUUUUGACACUUUAUUCAAGGUAUAAUAUUCCAAGGGGACAAAACACUAUUCAAGUUUGAAUUUAUACAAAGAUAAGAUUCUCCAACAAACUCUAUCCAAGAAAAACACUAUUCAAGAUAAGAUCAAAGACAAAGCUUGGAUUUAUAUGAGAAAUCAAGGAGUCAUCCAUUGAAGAUCCAAGGGUGGACAUUGAGUGGCCAAGGCUAUAAAUAGAAGGGUAAUCCCCUCAUUUUCACUCACCACACUACAAGCAAAUUCAAGAGCUUUCACUCCACACUUGCCCACACGUUUUUGCCUCCAAGCUUCCAAGCUUCCAAGCUUUCAAGUGCUCAAGUGUCCUAGCUUUCCAAAGCUUCAAAAGCUCUCCAACUUCUUCUUCUAAUCUUCUUGUUCAUCUUUACAAGUAAGAAGUGUUGUUUGCUUUAAUAUUCCACUCCUCUAAUCACCUCUUGUGUGUGUCCACUUUGGUUGAGAGGGUUGUCUCAAUAGUACCAAAGUGUGAGAGAAGGUUUGUGAGCUCAACCAUAAAGCUCUAGUUUGGUUUUAUAGAGUUUCCGGGAAAACUCUUAGGGUGAGUCUACCUUUAAAAGAUUUCAGAGGUUUUUAAGAGUUCCUUGAUACUCUAAGGUACUAACUUACCCGUAAAAGUUAGAGGUUCUUAAGAGUGCCCUUGAUACUCUAAGGUGUGAGUCUACCCGUAAAAGACUGGUUCCUAAGCGAAGUAGCCUUAAAGCUUAGAGAGGUUUUUAAGAGUUCCUUGAUACUCUAAGGUACUAACUUACCUGUAAAAGUUAGAGGUUCUUAAGAGUGCCCUUGAUACUCUAAGGUGUGAGUCUACCCGUAAAAGACUGUUCCUAAGCGAAGUAGCCUUAAAGCUUAGAGAGGUUCUUAAGAGUUUCCUUGAUACUCUAAGGUUUUGCCAUUACCUUUAGGCGAGUGAAUUCCGGCAGUUGGUCAGGACUGGACUAGCCCUUGUUUGGGUGAACCAGUAUAAAUCUCUUGUGUUGUUCUCUGUUAAUUAUAGUUUUAUCUGUUAUUUAAAAACAACACUUAAUUAAAAAGGAUCCCUCUUCCAGUUAUCUGGUCAAACACAGAGGUUGACUACUUUACGCAGAUCCCUCAUCCAGUUAUCUGGUCAACUAUCUGAGGUUAUAUUCAUUGCUUUAAAUCCUUAUAUUUGUUCAAGUAUUACUUAUCAUAUUUAUCCAGUUAUCUGGUCACUUACUUGUUUAUCAACUUAUCCAGUUAUCUGGUCACUUACUUGGUUAUCAAUAUAUCCAGUUAUCUGGUCAUUUACUCUUGCGUAUCAAUUUAUCCAGUUAUCUGGUCAUUUACUUUACAAUACAAUUUGUGUUUCCAAUAUAACUUAGUAUUCAUAUACUAUAGUUGUGUGCAAAACACUAUCAAGCAAGUUGACUCAGUAUUCAUAUACUGUAGUAAGCUUCGAAGAGUAAUACUUACCUUAUUAUAUCAAUCAAAAUCAUAAUAUCCUUAUAUCAUUACUUGUUCAACCAUUUGUUUAUUAAGCAUUUACAGGUAAUUCCGCAAUCAACCUGUAUAAAUCGAAAAGAGGCUAUUACCCCCCCUUAUAGCCUCGGAUCACGAUCCAACA
rnacentral:lncRNA from 1 species